GCUAGGGCCAGUUCCAGAUUCCAGCACAAGUGCCACUGUUCUGUCCCCUCUGUGUGCGGCUCCAAGAGAACAACAAUGAGAAUGUGGACAAUUAUGCAGUAGCUGUGCUGUUGGGAGCCGAUCCUUCUCUCAGUUCCUGCAAGGACGCAGCAAGGUUGAGGUGGCUCGGAGCACUGCACGUCUGGGAGACAGGUAGGCAAUGCCUCAGUUCACCUUCGCCUGCUUCUGCGGUCUCCACGGCCUCUGCCGACGGAAGAAGAAGAAAAGGGAGGCAGGAGACGAGCGCCCGCAGGACUAUGAGACCCAGGUCUGAUAAAGCAGGACUGAGUGCGCCCGUGUUUCAGUAAGUUAUAGAGAAACCAGACACCAGCGAAAAGCCUCCUUACAUGCCCUUGGCCCAGCUCAGGGAAUGAACUUAAAGACUCCUUUCUUGGGUUCCUUGUGAAAAAUGUACCAGCCGAAACAAGUUAAGCGACCAGCACAGAGGCUGCAGUGCGCAUCCUGCACCACACUCGCACACACACCUUCAUUCAUCAGCUAGGAGGCGGCCUUUCAGUUUAACCGUCACACCCCUAAGAAUAAAACAAAUUAAACAUCAUUCACAAAGUGAAGGAACAAGGUUCACCAGAUUAAACCCCUCCCCAGCCGCUCCCAAGAUAUAGAACAACUUUCAGUGUGCACCACUAACUCAAAAAACAUUAGAAUCUGUCCACCGUGAGCAAUUAUUUGAGUUUAAAAUUUGAUUAUAGUAUUUUUUAUCAGAGAUUGUUACAUGGUUACAAAGUGAUUACAGGUCUUUUCAGUUUGUUGUGCAGUGUUUCGGUAGAGGCGGGCUGCAGUGGAGGUGCUUCCCGACACCUGCUUCUGGGGCCUUCCUUCUCCAACAGUUUGUUAAUUGCUUUCGUGGUAAUUAUGAACCCCUGGGGAGAUCCAAGUGCCCCUUCUCAAAUGCCACCAUGGUAAAAGGAUGGGCACCAUCUGUCAUUUCUUGGGAACACUUCAAAUCUGGCCCUGAGCAAGUUUCACCUGACUUCCUCUCAAUUAUUGUGCCCAACUUGGAAGGCGA